AGCUAUCAUCUCGCUACCCGCACAUCCAUGGCGAUCGGGCGAUUAGGGUUAGGGUUAGGGUUAGGGUUAGCUUUUACGUCAGGGUUUUCUCUGAUCCAGUCCUAACCCACGAUCGCCUCAUCCUCCUCGUUCUGCGAUGCGAUUCAAACCAAUCCAGUUUCGUUCUUCCCCUUGUGAUAUUCUUAAACAUCACUCUGAAUCUUGAUCGAACGUUCAAUUCACGCUUUGGCAAUCUAGGAUGGAUUGGCAAGGACAGAAGCGCUCGGAGAUUUUGAUGCUGAUUUCGCUGGUGGUGUUCGGAGUUGUUGCUUUUGGGGUCGGAUAUGCGAUCGGCUCCUUCCAGAUUAUGAUGCUUAUCUAUGGGUCUGGAGUUGUCCUGACUGCAUUGAUUACGGUGCCCAAUUGGCCCUUGUUCAAUCGCCACCCGCUGAAAUGGUUGGACCCGAGCGAGGCCGAUCGCCACCCGAAGCCGCAGGCGAACACUGCAACUUCAAAGAAGAAGGUGUCCAAGCAAAAGUAGAAGUAGGUCUUGUUAUAGCUUUCAGAAUUUUUUCAGGGCUUUCCAUUGUUGCUGUCUUAUUGAUGGGGCAAACUUUAGUACUGCUGGGUGUUGCUGAUGGUGGAAGCAUUGGUUUGUUGGUGUUUCUGAAGUAAUUUUAGGAAUAUGGAAUAUUACUCCCACAAUGGCUAAAUGAAAGAUAAACUUAGAAAAAAGGAACAACUUGUUCUUA